UCUCCAGUGGCGCAGUUGGUUAGCGCAUGGUACUUAUAAUGCCGAGAUCGCGAGUUCGAGCCUCGCCUGGAGAA
rnacentral:tRNA from 1 species